AGGCCUUUGUGGCUGUGGCCCCACCUGCCCCACAGCCCAGCCAGCCCUCAGUUUUGCCCCCACACCUGCAGCACAGUGGUACCAGAAUGUCUGGCAGGGCUCUCACUGCUGAACAGCUCGUGGUGAUCACAUCAAGGGGCGCUGGAGAUGUUUCAGGCUGCAUGUGGCUGCCCCAAAACAGAGGUGCCUGUGCUUUGUAAAGCUUCUGGAAGACUUACUAAAGAAAACUAUGUUUUGCUUUCCCCACAGAAGCCUGAAUCAAAGGCAUCAGCCACUUGCCCUGUGGGGUGAGCCUGCCUGAGGGUCCCACUCUGCCCUGCUAGUAAGGAGACACAGGAUAUUCCCAUCACUGUUCCAGAGCCACAUGUGGCUGUGCCAAGGCAGAGGAAAUACAAAGGACCUUCCCUGGCCAAGCACUUUUGCCCCUUGGUUCCCAGGCUCCUGGAGCAGUCAGCCUUUGAGGUCUGCUGGUUUGGCUCUGUUGGGUGAUGAUGAUGGAUGCCACAUGUCAUCCAGGCUGCAGCUCUCUGGGGUGUUAUGAAGACUCUUGCUGGUGUCUGGAUUGUCUCCAAUCAGCCAGGUGUUCUUUCCAGGAGAGCUGACAGGCUCUGGUGUGGAGGACACACAGCUUUGUCCCAUAUGCCUCCCUUGACAGGGAAGCUGGUCAAGUGUCUCAUAAUGAGCUUGCUGUGUUCCUGCCCUGCAGACGGUUUGUUGGCUGUUGGCAAAGGCAGCCUGGGGAGAAGCUCUGCCUGGCUCCACUGCCCGUGGCUCUGCCACUGCCCUGCUGUGGAAAGCCUUUCCCUCUGGCCUCAGGCUGAUCUCCUCUGUAAGCAUCUCUUCCAGGACAUUCCUCUGCCCUCAUCAGAGGCACCUGCAGGGUGGCCAUUUGGGGACAUGUGCCCUGCCAGGCACAGGGACUCUCUGCUGAUGUGUUUGUACAUCCUCAGCUGUGGCUGGGGAAAAGAGAUGGAUGGGACAGUGAGUGUCAUCAGCAUGGGGAACAGGGCCAUGCCAGGAAGAUGGUCUGUGAUACUCUGAUUUGAUAUUCCAUGAUAGUAAAUCAAGCAGGAUGUACCACCCUGCAGCAUUUGGUGACAGUGGCAUUGCCCACCUGGGAAGUGUAUCUCCCACACACCGUAAGUGCUGCCAGAACUCAGAUAUAUGUGCAUCCUGUGCCAGCCAGGAGUGAUGCUCCAGGAAAGAGCCACCAAUGUUCCAACAGAAAUGUCCCCGUGUCACCCACCCAGGGCACUGAGGCCCUGCCACAAAGACGAGGUGCUCGGCUGUCUCGGUGACACCGCCUGUCCCAGGGCUGGGGACAGGACACGGCAGUGGGUGUUCUGGUCUCAGGUCACCGCACAACCUGGCAGCGCCCGCCCGGGGACUCAGCACGCUUUAAUGAGCUCAGCGCCAGAGCCUGCAUGGAGGAAUUAACAACUCGGAAUAAUGCUUGUCACUUUGCUGUGAGGAAAUUGUCAAGUGAAAAGCAAUUUACUAAAAAAGAGGGAGGAAAGAAAUGGUUUUGCUUAUUAAGAUCAACAUCAUAUUAAAGUAUUUUCUCAAUACCCCAUUUGAGUUGAAUUUUACAUUUUCUCUCUCUUGUUCUCACCAAUGGGAAUAAAGCAGGGGUUUCACUCUAAUUAAUUGUUGUCUGCUUCAUUUGGCCAGCAAAUUUCAUGAGCAAGGUUACACAUUUCUGUAGCAUUUGAAUUGCAAAUGCUGCAGGAAUAUGAUAAAAAAAGGAAAACAUGUUGAAUUCUAAAAGCAAAUGGGAACCUUUCUGUAAGACAUCAGUUUAAAAUUACUUUAUUUUUACAAAUCUUAAAAAUAUAUCUUGUCAGAGUA